GGCUCAGAUUGAACGCUGGCGGCAUGCCUUACACAUGCAAGUCGAACAGCAGCACGGGAGCUUGCUCCUGGUGGCGAGUGGCGAACGGUGAGUAAUACAUCGGAACGUACCCUGAAGUGGGGAUAACGUAGCGAAAGUUACGCUAAUACCGCAUAUUCUGUGAGCAGGAAAGAGGGGGAUCGCAAGACCUCUUGCUUUAGGAGCGGCCGAUGUCGGAUUAGCUAGUUGGUGAGGUAAAGGCUCACCAAGGCGACGAUCCGUAGCGGGUCUGAGAGGAUGAUCCGCCACACUGGGACUGAGACACGGCCCAGACUCCUACGGGAGGCAGCAGUGGGGAAUUUUGGACAAUGGGCGCAAGCCUGAUCCAGCCAUGCCGCGUGAGUGAAGAAGGCCUUCGGGUUGUAAAGCUCUUUCGGUGGGGAAGAAAUUGCACAGGAUAAUACCUUGUGUAGAUGACGGUACCCGCAUAAGAAGCACCGGCUAACUACGUG
rnacentral:rRNA from 1 species